GGAAAGAUAAGCUAAGUUUAAGCUCAUAGGUUCAUACCCUGUUUAUGGAGACAUUUCUCCUCUUUCUA
rnacentral:tRNA from 1 species